UUCUUGAUAGAAGAUAUCCACUUGUAAACCAACUAAACCUACGUCUGUUACUUGUCUCUAUCGGUUUUUUUAAAUUUAGAAUCUUCAUAGCUAAUAAUACUCUUCUCAUCAAAGUCAUUGCACUUGAACCAUUUCUCAGGCUUACAUGUUUCAUACAAGAUAUUCUUUGAUGGCUUAUCUGUUCCCAAGGAACAAAAUCACCAAGGCUAACCAACAAUAAGAAAAAUAGUAACCAGGUUUCAGAAUACAAGUUAAUUAAGUAUCUACUGGAACUGAGCAAUGACAAAUUUACAUAGUAACCCAUUAAGAAAUAACAUUAUAGAAAUAUGAAGCUUAGAUUACCUUAGUGUUUGUUGGGUCUGACUGUGGAGAUGCUCAAGCAAACAGAGCUUUCAGCUUUCUUACGUCCCAAAAUUUCAGGGCACUGAGAGCAUCAUUAAUGCAGUUUCUUGGUAGGGUUUUUAAACAAAAGAAAGCAUUUAAUUAAAUCAAAACAAAAAGAAAUUAUGGUAACCGAUCCUUAGUGAAGUGUUUUGGCAACCGAUCAGCGGUUUCUUAAUACACGUGUCAUGAAACUGUUAAUUUCUUUUUUUUCUUUUCUUUUCUUUCUCUCCUUUCUCUCCUCUUUUCUCGUGUUCUCCGUCGGGAGGACGAUUGGUUUUGUGAAAGGAAUCAUCUCUUCCGUGCAAUCGACGUAUCUCUGUUUUUCCCUUCUCUCGUCAUCUCCUGUGAGGAGAGGGUACUGGGGUAACAAAAUUGGCAAGCCGCAUACGGUUCCUUGUAAGGUUACGGGGAAGUGUGGUUCCGUUACGGUGAGGAUGGUUCCUGCUCCCCGAGGUGCUGGUAUCGUGGCGGCUAGGGUUCCUAAGAUGGUGCUUCAGUUCAAUGGGAUUGAUGAUGUUUUCAUUUCUUCCAGGGGAUCUACUAAGACUCUUGGAAACUUCGUCAAGUACUCAUGGAUGAUCAGAGAGAGAUAGAUAUUUGUGUUGAGAUGUGACAAAGCCUUUAGAGGUUCUUUGUUUAUCAUUAUGCUCUUCUCCAUCUCUUAAGCUAAAACAAAAUGGAUGGGUUGGAAACUUUGCGCUUGGAGCAAGCUAUAUCAGUUUGCCAUGGUGGGCUGGGCAAGCAUUGUUUGGCACUGAUGCUGCAAAAUGGAUAUGCGUUAGUGCUAUAGACGUUACUCAGCUCUCUGUUGCCGGUAUGUAGUAUGACUUCUAUUUCUUGUGCUUGAUCUUAUGAACUAGAUGAUCAUUAGUGAAUGUCUAUUCUGGUUGCAGUGUAUCUUGUGAUCAAAAUUUAUACAUAAAGUAAUCAAAAACAUUUUCUACUUUUUAAUCACAUAUAUGGCAUCUUCUUUUCAAAUCUAUUUUUACUAUGUUUUAUUUUUUUAAAAAAAUUAAUUUUAAUACAACAAUGUUAAAAAAAAAAAUUUAAGAACCCUUCGUUAAGAAACUCCCAAUGGAGCACAAAAUCUAUAAGUUUCUUAAUUAAAUUUUUAACUAAUUUUUAUUAUUAAACAAGUCACUAAGAAUUAUAGGGAUAAUGAUGCUCUGAGAGAUAUACAGAAAAAAAAAACUAAAGGAUGUAAACAACAUUGCUAUAAGCUAUAUGAAGUAGCAAUACCCUUUACAUGAACCUAAUCAGCGUUGUGAAAGUACCUAUCUGGUG